rnacentral:rRNA from 1 species
CUACGGGUGGCAGCAGUGGGGAAUUUUGCGCAAUGGGGGAAACCCUGACGCAGCAAUACCGCGUGAGUGAAGAAGGCCUUUGGGUCGUAAAGCUCUUUUCUUGGGGAAGAUAGUGACGGUACCCAAGGAAUAAGCACCGGCUAACUCCGUGCCAGCAGCCGCGGUAAUACGGAGGGUGCAAGCGUUGUUCGGAUUUACUGGGCGUAAAGGGCACGUAGGCGGCACAGCAAGUUAAGGGUGAAAUCCCGGGGCUCAACUCCGGAACUGCUCUUAAAACUGCUGAGCUAGAGAUAGUCAGAGGCGGGUGGAAUUCCAGGUGUAGAGGUGAAAUUCGUAGAUAUCUGGAGGAACCCCGGUGGCGAAGGCGGCCCGCUGGGGCUAUUCUGACGCUAAGGUGCGAAAGCGUGGGGAGCAAACGGGAUUAGAUACCCUAGUAGUC